GACGAACCGUGCGAACGUUGUUCGGAAUCACUGGGCUUAAAGGGCGCGUAGGCGGGUGUGCAAGUCUGCGGUGAAAGCCUCCAGCUUAACUGGAGAAGUGCCGUGGAUACUGCUCAUCUUGAGGAGGGUAGGGGCAUCUGGAACGGUCGGUGGAGCGGUGAAAUGCGUUGAUAUCGACCGGAACUCCGGUGGCGAAGGCGAGGUGCUGGACCCUUUCUGACGCUGAGGCGCGAAAGCCAGGGGAGCAAAGCGGG
rnacentral:rRNA from 1 species